UUUUUUUUUUUUUUUUUUUUGGUCUUUUGCCCUUCCAGGGCCACACCUGCGGCACAUGGAGGUUCCCAGGUUUGGGGUCUAAUUGGAGCUGUUGCUGCCAGCCUACGCCAGAGCCACAGCAACACCAGAUCUGAGCCACAUCUGCAAACUACACCACAGCUCAUGGUAACGUCGGAUCCUUAACCCACUGAGCAAGGCCAGGGAUCGAACCCGCAACCUCAUGGUUCCUAGUCGGAUUCAUUUCCACUGUGCCACGAUGGGAACUCCUCAACAAUGUUUCUAUGAAUUCUUAACUACCAUCUAAAGAGAAUUUUUUUGCUUCCUUAGGCUUAUUUAUCACAUCACAGAGUAAAUCACUAAUUUUUUAUAUGUACCAGGUAGAAGUUCGGUACACAAAUUAGUGGCUAGGACCAGAGUUAAGAACAAAUGAAUAAGUCCCUCAACACCAUAUACAGAAUGGACAGCUGGUUAGUAGCAGUCAGGACAUAAGAACUCCUGGCUAAGUCACAUUAAGAAGAAAUUCUUCUUCACUCUAAGGAAACCCUCCUUCAUUGUUAUUGGGAAUGUAAAUCAGUACAAGCACAAUGGAAAAUAUAACGGAGAUACCACAGAAAACUAAAUAUAGAACUAGUGUAGUGCCUGUCAUGGCACAGCAGAAACAAAUCCGACUAGGAACCAUGAAGUUGCAAGUUUGAUCCCUGGCCUCGCUCAAUGGGAUAAGGAUCUGGUGUUGCCUGAGCUGUGGUGUAGGUUGCAGACAUGGCUCAGAUCUGGUGUUGCUGUGGCAUAGGCCAGGAGCUAUAGCUCCGAUUAGACCCCCUAGCCUGGGAACAAACCUCCAUAUACUGCGGGUGCGGCACUCAAAAGACAAGAAAGAAAAAAAGAAUUAGCAUAUGAUCCAGCGGUCCUACUCCUGGGCAUGUAUCUGGACAAAACUAUAAUUCAAAAAGAUACAGGCACCUGUAUGUUCAUCUUAGCAAAAUUCACAAUAGCCAAGAUGUGGAAACAACCUUAAUGCCCAUUGACAGAUGAGUGGAUUAAGAAGACAUGUUACAUAUAUACAAUGGAAUACAACUCAGCCAUAAAAAAAGGACAAAAUAAUGCCUUUUCCAGCAACAUGGAUGCAACUAGUUUCUCAUACUAAGUGAAGUCAGUCAGGUAGAGAAAGACAAAUACCACAUGAUAUCACUUAUAUGUGGAAUCUAAAAUAUGAUCCUGAAAUAUAGAAAUGAUCCUGUCUACAAAACAGAAAUAGAUCAUGGACAUGGAGAGCAGACUUGUGGUGGCCAGGGAGCAGAGGGAGGGAGUAGGAUAGAUGGGAAUUUGGGGGUUAGUAGAUCCAAAUUAUUAAAUUUAUAAUGGAUAAGCAAUGAGGUCCUACUCUACAGCACAGGGAACUAUGUCCAAUCUCUUGGGUAAGAACAUGAUAGAAGAAAGUAUGAAAAAAAAAAAAAAGAAUGUACAUAUAUGUAUGACCGGGUCACUUUACUGUACAGUAGAAACUGAAGGAACAUUGUAAAUCAACUCAUGACCAUCAUUUCAAAAAGGACCAGUUUGAAUUGCAGUGAUGCUGGGAACACAUUACCACUAGAAGAGGUAGCCAUCAGAUAAAGAUUCUUCUGCCUCCUCUGGCCCUACUCCCUGCCCUAGACAUAAUCCCCAACUCUACAGACAUCCCAUGAAGGCUGCAUCAUGGCUGUAGCCUUGGAAAAGGAAAGUAUGAACCUUGAAGAUAGUAGUUUUAAAGAAAAAAAAAAUGGGAUUGAUUCUUAAGAGCAGAAAAUAAGACUAAGUCAUUGCUAUGUGACUUUCAGGUCAUGAAGGAAAUUUAGCUGUAGUCCAUUUUCUCUUUCAGUGUUGGAUAAGAGGGAGGGAUGUAGGCUGGGGCUGAGAGGAUAUUGCUUAAAGAGUAACACAGAGUCAAAAGUAGGAGGUAUUCAGCAGCUCCAGUCUUGAACCUUCAGUCUGCUUCAAGGAUGUUGUACAAGGGAGUGUCAAAAAGAACAAAACACUGUCUGGAAAGAAUACAUGCCACUGACUGGAAUGCAUUUGUUCUAUUUCAGAGUUGUGUAAACCCUUUGGGCAGGCUGCAGGAGGGGGAAUAUAUACUGAUAGGAAAGUAGAGAUAAACAAAAGAACAGGUAUAUUUUCCAGCUCAUUUCAGUUGGAAAAUAUACUUUAAAGCCAGAUGAUAGUGCAUCACUUGAAAGAAUACUAAUUACUACUUGGUUACUCGUCCUUGACUUAAAAGCAUUUGUUGAGACUGAAAACAAGAAGGUGGACCUUCUUAUAGAACUCCAAACCAAUAAUGUGUGUCGCCCUGGCCUGUACAUGGAGUUUUCGCUGCUAAUGGACAUAGAAAUAACCAUAUUUUAUUUUGUAAGUUGCAGUAAAUAUGGUUGUAGCAUACAACAGAAUACAUGAGUACAUGUUUAAGUACUGUUGUUCUUACUGUAUGAUAAAAAGAAAUUCUUUGCAUGUAUGUAGUUUUACCUGACCAGGAACACAGCAGCUAAGGGAUGAAACUCAAUGAUGGAAAGCUGUGGAAGGUGCAACCAAUAAACAAACCCAAGCUGUAGGAUGGUUCUAUAAACUAGAGCUGCCAUGCUGAGUGAGUAAUUAUGCUAUUGCAGAAAUGAUAAAUAAUGCCAUGCUAUCUUCACUGGGAAAAUGAAGUAUUUCUUGCCCCUCAAAUUGCUAAAGGUGAAACUUGCUUUCUGAGCUCAAUCUGUUAGAAGGGAAAUAAUCUGACAAGAUAAUUCUUCUUAAAGGGCUACAUGUUGUCCUCUAUGGCAUGAAAAUAUUUAGUUUAUAAGUUUUACCCACACUCCUUGUGAUGUAGUGAGGAGAAAAAAUUAAGCCCAAAUUGAGAUUCAAAAAAAAAAGAUGUUUCCAAAAAAUUAAAAUUUCAGAAUUUCAGAAUAAUCCUGAUUAUGAUUGGAAUGUGUAGUUAAUUUCAUAUAAUUAAUGUAAGUUAUUUUUAAAGCUUCAUUUAACGGGGAACAAAGAACAGACUAUUAUUUGAUGAUAUUGUGGAAGGCUAAAUAUAAAACAGUGUAAAAUUUGUGUACAAAUUGUGUUUGUAGGUGUAUUCCCUUGUAUACUGAAGAGUCACCAAAGCAACCAGUAAGUCUAACAUACACAUCUAUAUGUGUGUGUGUGUGUGUGUGUGUGUGUGUGUGUAUUUUUUUGUCUUUUUGCCUUUUCUAGGGCCACUCCCAUGGCAUAUGGAGGUUCCCAGGCUAGGGG
ensembl:lncRNA